CAACACAAUCUUCAUCAUCACACAAGACACAACAACAACAAUGAACAACAUCAUCAUCCUCAUCUGGACCAUUGCAGCUUUUAUUCAAGAAUCCAGAGGAGUCACUCUGACUCAACCUGAAGUUAAAACUGUGCAACAGGGUCAAACAGCUACAAUAGAGUGUAGUCUGGAUGUAGGACUAACCUCUAAUGAUUUGGCCUGGUAUCAGCAGAAACCUGGAGAAGCUCCUAAACUCCUCAUAUAUCAAGCAACAAACAGUUACACUGGAACUCCAUCUAGAUUCAGUGGCAGUGGAACAGCAAAUACUGGAAAAGAUUUCACUCUGACCAUCAGUGGAGUCCAGACUGAAGAUACAGGAGAUUAUUACUGUCAGAGUUACCACUACAUCAACAGUAACGAUGUGUUCACACAGUGAUAAAGAGUCGUACAAAAACCUCCGUCAGUCAGAGUCACAGUGACUGCACUGAUACAGCGGAGAGACACUGCA